rnacentral:lncRNA from 1 species
GCCAGUAACCUCCUGACCGUGCACUUCAUCUUGGACGACACUGUUCAAUGCCGUGGCUUCAAUGCCACCUACAGCACAGUGGACAGUCUUUGUGGAGGAGCAUUCAAUGCCACAGCAUCAUCUCAGACCAUCACAUCCCCAUAUUACCACAACGCCUACCCGCCAUUCACCUCUUGCCGCUGGGUGCUGGAUGCUCCUUCUCAGGAGGUGGUGAAAGUGUCUGUUCAGUAGUUUCACCUGGACUCCAGCCAGAGCUGUGCCAGCAAUUUCCUGGAGUUUAAGGACUUCGCUGUGGGAGAUUAUGGACAGACUCAUAAGUUCUGUGGCAUAGACCAGAUUUCUACAGUUAUGGCCGCACCAUGCACAUCACCUUCAAAUCAGAAGCCUUCAUGACUGGCAACGGAUUUAGCCUCACAUAUCAGGUGGCAGGUGAGUCCUUUCCCUGUGAUUACUAGUGUUUUUACUCAUGUCGGUGUGAUUAUAUUGUCAGUG